rnacentral:misc_RNA from 1 species
AAGUCGUAACAAGGUCUCUAUUGGUAAACCAGUAGAGGGAUCAUUACCAAGUUUACAACUCCCAAACCUAUAUAAAUCUUACCUUUUUAUUACUUCAGCAGGAUCACCCCGGGCGCCAUCAUGUGCCCCAGACCCAGGCGCCCGCCGGGGGACUUAAACUCUUGUAUUACUUUAUUUUCUCUAAGUGGAUUACACAAAUAAUCAAAACUUUCAAUAACAGAUCUCUUGGUUCUG